rnacentral:rRNA from 1 species
UACGUAGGGUGCCAGCGUUGUCCGGAUUUACUGGGCGUAAAGAGCGCGCAGGCGGUCGUUCAAGUCGCGUGUGAAAGCCCCCGGCUCAACUGGGGAGGGUCACGCGAUACUGAUCGACUGGACGGCAGGAGAGGGUAGUGGAAUUCCCGGUGUAGUGGUGAAAUGCGUAGAUAUCGGGAGGAACACCGGUGGCGAAGGCGGCGACCUGGGUCGAUACUGACGCUGAGGCGCGAAAGCGUGGGGAGCAAACAGG